ACUCAUCAUUCCAGCCAGUCAGCAGCAGACCCUCCCUCCCAGACCCUCCCACCUCUUGGACAGCAUCCAUUUUGAAGCUGCAUUCUUAGUGAGCUGUCCAGGAGGUGGGAGGGUCUGGGAGGGAGGGUCUGCUGCUGAUUGGUUGGAAUGAUGAG